rnacentral:rRNA from 1 species
CCUACGGGAGGCAGCAGUGGGGAAUUUUGGACAAUGGGCGCAAGCCUGAUCCAGCAAUGCCGCGUGAGUGAAGAAGGCCUUCGGGUUGUAAAGCUCUUUCAGUCGAGAAGAAAAGGCUGCAGUGAAUAACUGUAGUUUAUGACGGUAUCGACAGAAGAAGCACCGGCUAACUACGUGCCAGCAGCCGCGGUAAUA